AGGAGCUUCGCUGCUGCUUUCCGCAGCAGAGGGGUGAGUAAGGCCUAGGAAUCUGCCAGGGACUGAGGGACAACGUUACCUAAGGAACGCUAAUACCGCAAACGUCCAACGGCACAAAACAGGGGACCUUCGGGCCUUGGGCUCUUGCAUUAGCCUGUGUCGGAUUAGCUAGUUGGUGAGGUAAUGGCUCACCAAGGCGACGAUCCCUAUCUGGUCUGAGAGGAUGAUCAGUCACACUGGAACUGAGACUCGGUCCAGACCCCUACUGGAGGCAGCAGUGGGGAAUAUUGGACAAUGGGCGAAAGCCUGAUCCAGCCAUGCCGCGUGUGUGAGGAAGGUCUUCGGAUUGUAAAGCACUUUAAGUUGGGAGGAAGGGGAGGAGAUUAAUACUCUGCUAUUUUGACGUUGCCGACACAAUAAGAACCGGCUAACUCUGUGCCUGCGCCCGCGGUAAUACUGAUGUUGCAAGCGUUAAUCGGAAUUACAGGGCGUAAAGCGCGCGUACGUGGUUUGUUAAUUUGGAUGUGAAAUCCCCGGGCUCAG
rnacentral:rRNA from 1 species